rnacentral:tRNA from 1 species
GCAUCCGUAGCUCAGCUGGAUAGAGGACUCGGCUACGAACCGAGCGGGCGGAGGUUCGAAUCCUCCGGGAUGCACCA